rnacentral:rRNA from 1 species
AUUGAACGCUGGCGGCAGGCUUAACACAUGCAAGUCGAGCGGAGAUGAGGUGCUUGCACCUUAUCUUAGCGGCGGACGGGUGAGUAAUGCUUAGGAAUCUGCCUAUUAGUGGGGGACAACAUUCCGAAAGGGAUGCUAAUACCGCAUACGUCCUACGGGAGAAAAGCAGGGGAUCUUCGGACCUUGCGCUAAUAGAUGAGCCUAAGUCGGAUUAGCUAGUUGGUGGGGUAAAGGCCUACCAAGGCGACGAUCUGUAGCGGGUCUGAGAGGAUGAUCCGCCACACUGGGACUGAGACACGGCCCAGACUCCUACGGGAGGCAGCAGUGGGGAAUAUUGGACAAUGGGGGGAACCCUGAUCCAGCCAUGCCGCGUGUGUGAAGAAGGCCUUAUGGUUGUAAAGCACUUUAAGCGAGGAGGAGGCUACUGAGACUAAUACUCUUGGAUAGUGGACGUUACUCGCAGAAUAAGCACCGGCUAACUCUGUG